CAUGGGGGUCUGCCCAAGCCGAA
rnacentral:misc_RNA from 1 species